CCUACGGGUGGCAGCAGUGGGGAAUAUUGCACAAUGGGGGAAACCCUGAUGCAGCGACGCCGCGUGAGUGAAGAAGUAUUUCGGUAUGUAAAGCUCUAUCAGCAGGGAAGAAAAUGACGGUACCUGAUUAAGAAGCCCCGGCUAACAACGUGCCAGCAGCCGCGGUAAUACGUAGGGGGCAAGCGUUAGCCGGAUUUACUGGGUGGAAAGGGAGCGUAGACGGCAGCACAAGUCUGGAGUGAAAUGCCGGGGCUUAACCCCGGAACUGCUUUGGAAACUGUGCAGCUAGAGUGCCGGAGAGGUAAGUGGAAUUCCUAGUGUAGGAGUGAAAUGCGUAGAUAUUAGGAGGAACACCAGUGGCGAAGGCGGCUUACUGGACUGUAACUGACGUUGAGGCUCGAAAGCGUGGGGAGCAAACAGGAUUAGAUACCCUAGUAGUC
rnacentral:rRNA from 1 species